UCUUGCAAUUGGAAUGAGUACAAUUUAAAUCUCUUAACGAGGAUCAAUUGGAGGGCAAGUCUGGUGCCAGCAGCCGCGGUAAUUCCAGCUCCAAUAGCGUAUAUUAAAGUUGUUGCAGUUAAAAAGCUCGUAGUUGGAUUUCUGGUGGGAGCACGGGUCGGCCCUCACGGGUUGUACUGUUGUUGCGUCCUGCCGUUUCGGAGGGAAUGGCCUCGCUAUUAAGUUAUCGUGGUCGGGAACUCUGUCGUUUACUGUGAAAAAAUUAGAGUGUUCAAAGCAGGCCUUCGCUGUGAAUACAUUAGCAUGGAAUAAUAAGAUAGGACUGUAGUGCUAUUUUGUUGGUUUGCGUACUAUGGUAAUGAAUAAUAAGGAUAGUUGGGGGUAUUCAUAUUCAAUUGUCAGAAGUGAAAUUCUUGGAUUUAUGGAAGAUGAACUACUGCGAAAGCAUUUACCAAGGAUGUUUUCUUAAUCAAGAACGAAAGUUAGGGGAUCGAAGAUGAAUAGAUACCAUCGUAGUCUUAACCAUAAACUAUGCCGACUCCGGAUUGGCCGACGUUGAAUUAAUGACUCGGUCAGCACCGUAUGAGAAAUCAAA
rnacentral:rRNA from 1 species